UACAGAGGUCCCAAGCGUUGUUCGGAUUCACUGGGCGUAAAGGGUGCGUAGGUGGCAGGGUAAGUUUGAUGUGAAAUCUCCGAGCUUAACUCGGAAACUGCAUUGAAUACUAUUCUGCUCGAGGUUUGGAAGGGGGACUGGAAUUCUCGGUGUAGCAGUGAAAUGCGUAGAUAUCGAGAGGAACACCGGUGGCGAAGGCGAGUCCCUGGACAACACCUGACACUGAGGCACGAAAGCUAGGGGAGCAAACAGG
rnacentral:rRNA from 1 species